GACGAACGCUGGCGGCGUGCUUAACACAUGCAAGUCGAACGGAAAGGCCCUGCUUUUGUGGGGUGCUCGAGUGGCGAACGGGUGAGUAACACGUGAGUAACCUGCCCUUGACUUUGGGAUAACUUCAGGAAACUGGGGCUAAUACCGGAUAGGAGCUCCUGCUGCAUGGUGGGGGUUGGAAAGUUUCGGCGGUUGGGUAUGGACUCGCGGCUUAUCAGCUUGUUGGUGGGGUAGUGGCUUACUAAGGCUUUGACGGGUAGCCGGCCUGAGAGGGUGACCGGCCACAUUGGGACUGAAAUACGGCCCAGACUCCUACGGGAGGCAGCAGUGGGGAAUAUGGCACAAUGGGCGGAAGCCUGAUGAAGCAACGCCGCGUGCGGGAUGACGGCCUUCGGGUUGUAAACCGCUUUCGCCUGUGACGAAGCGUGAGUGACGGUAAUGGGUAAAGAAGCACCGGCUAACUACGUG
rnacentral:rRNA from 1 species